UAGCCAGCGGUCUUUACAUGUAAAAUCGGACCACGUGAUAACUUUGGACCGAAAUAAAGAGCGGGAAGAAAGUUACAGUAAACUGAAAUACUUCGGCGYUGACUUCCAUGUGUCCUGGUGGAAUGUGGAGGUACUUUUUAUUGUAUAUUUUUAAUACUGUACUAUAUCAAUAACAGUACAUAGCAUAACAUAAUUAUAACAAAUUGUCUUUCGCCUCGCUUUAAUCGAUGGACKUGUUAUGAGGAUGGUGAGAUCUGAAAACUUGAGGUCCUAUUUUCCCUAUUACUCGUGGUCUGCAGUAAGCUUAAAAUUGGCUGAAGCCACUGUACUACAUUCGACAGUCGAGUGCCUAACAAUGCGCUUAAAGACCUAAAACAGGAAAAAAAAAAACGAAAGAAGACAAUAAUUACUAUGAGACCACUGCUGAGAAGGUCAGGUUUUCUUGGAGAUUCUCUAUUGUUCAUAAGUUAACUCAUCAUGCCGUAGAAUUAUACAAAAAACAUGCCUACAUAUAUAAGCUUAACUUAUAUCAAAUAGAAGACACARAAAGGUAUACACAGGAAUAUCUAAAAAAGCCAAAAGUAAAAUAUUCGUUCACAAACAGAAGAGAUUUUGCUCUUGAGUAUUAAUUAAAAUACAAAAGAAAGGUUCAGCUUGAGGUCUUCUGUCUUUCCAGAGCUUUGAUUUCUUCACUCCUCCCUACUAAAACAACGCUUUUUUAUAGCAUCAACAAAAACAGUAAAGAAGAGUACAAAAAUCCAAACCUCAAGAACCAGGUGAGUGACCCCAUCGUGCAAAUGGCCUGCUGAUCAGUUUUUAUUUCAUGUGUAAAGGACUAACCAUGGUUGCUGAUCAGAAUGUGAUUGAUGUUCUCUGUCCUUAUACAGUAAGCGGCAUUUAUACAAGCAAUUUUUCCUUGACAAGGAAAAAUUGCUCGUGUAAAUGGGGUAAAAUGGACAAUUUUCCUUGUCAGGGAAAAGCCAACAAGUUCGCUUUCCCUCGACAAGGAAAAAUUGUCAAGGACGAAAUUUGCUUGUGUAAAUGGACAAGGAAAAUGUGGCAAGAAAGAAUUGACAAGGGAAACUUGUUGACCAUUCACACGGGCAAUUUUUCCUUGUCAAGAAACUUGUCAAGGAAAAAAUGCUUGUGUAAACGCUGCUUUAGAUUUGCUUGAAAUCGAUAAGCACUACAUGCAAUAUUCUUGGGUGAUCAGAUAAAAAAUGAUGCCCAGAAAUGGAAAAAGAAGGUCAGAAUCAAAAGAAAAUGGGGUUUCAAUUUACAUAUCCCUUAAUAUUUAUACAUAUUUAUUAUUAUUGCUAUUUCAACAAAAACAAAUCUGAGCUAUCUAAAAAAUCAAAAAUAUAUCUGCUUUGUACUUUAAGUGAGAUUUAUUGUAUCUUUAUUAAAGGGACAUUUGUCAUUUUGAAAAGCUGUUAAAUUGUAAAAACUCUUUGUCUCACUGUUACAACCCAGGGACCAGAUAUGGUCUGAUGACAUCAUAGAACACAGAAAUUCUUAUGAAACAAGUUAAUAAAACAGAUAAUGUGUCUUGUAGGACAGAAAACUAGAAUGAGACAGCUUCCAAAUGCAUUAAUAACAAAAUUAAAAAAAACUUGAAAAAAAUGAAAAGAAAUCAGUUCACACAGGGGCAGAUCACACACGCACGCACAAAAAUGAAAACACAUUAAUUUUUAUCAACAUGUGAAGCAUCAACAUGGGCAGCCUUCUGGGGUUGGUGUGUGGGUCCCUUUGUGUCUUGAACAGGGUAAUAUAUUUCACCUUCAGUUGUCUUUAAAUAGGRGUGUCCUACUAUAAAAUCAAAAGGACAAAAAAAAUGUCCUAAUUAGAGGAAACCAAAAUGGGAUCCCCUUGAAAAAUCCUUCAAAUUCUGGACAAGCCRCUGCAACAGAUACACUAUAUUGUAUAAAGUCGAUUGACAAAAGGUUGUCGUCAACCGGACUUUGUCGCACGCGACCCACCCGAACAGCUUUCUGGGUAAAAAUCAAUGAACUGGCAUUCUAGUAUAGUGUCAAUUUGUUUCGGUUUUUAUUCUCUUGUUUAAGAACUCAAAGUCAAAUAUUGACCGUUUUAUUCCACACCAUGAUGGAAACAAUGUGAGAUGCAAAUAUCGACACACAAAUUCAUGGGCUUUGGAAAUUUUUGUCACACAUUUUGUUGGUUUUUUUUCAAUCACAAAGACGUUCAAAUCUCUAAUUUGCCCGGUCAUUGACUUUUACCCAGAAACCAGUUUGGGCUGAUUGCAUUUCGUGAAACCCUGUUGACGACAACCUUUUGUCAAUCGACUAUAUAUUGGGAGAUAGUUUCCAUGUCAGAUAGGGGUUUAAGCUUUACAAAAUGUCUGAAAUAGGCAGACAUAGCUUUUUAGAACAAGUCUUCUCAGCCCUAAUCACUCCUCUUCUUACAAACAGUUUUUUCACUUUUGCAGCCAUYAAAAGUCUUCAUGAUUAAUUUUUGCGUAUUUUAGAAGGCAAAACAACAAUUUUUACUCUCUCUAUCCUGGAAUGCGUAUAGAUGUCAAUCAUUGGGACCAAAUUGUAACUGUAAACUUUUGGUACAAAUAUCUUGCAACAAACAUACUCAGAGAUCCAGGUUAAAGAAAAAACAUGUGUAGAUUUACAUUUAAAGUAUUCAUCUGAUAUCCGAAUGACAUACCUAUUCAUUAUUGUCAAAAACUGAAUGACACUGUUGCAUCCAGUAGACCGACUCAUAUUAAAAUUAAUAUUUACGUCCAAAUAGUACGUUUUUUAAUUAGAAGUAUUUUGGACAAACCUCGACAUAAAUUCAGGUCUACUUCAGUUAAAAAAGAAAUACUYAUUUUACUUGUUUCAUCGAACACGGAACAGUUUUUAAUGAGCUUACAGUACAUCUUUCGGAUUUCGCAAAACUGAAGCACAAUUAACCACAAGCAACACAAGUCGCUUACCUGUAUUGGAAACAAUUAAAGUAAAUCCCAGUACAUAGACUACUAGAUCCAUCCAAUAACAUGGAGGCAUGCGAUGCUUCAUUUACACACGUCUCAUAGAUAAAUAUUAACGAACAACAUUCAUUCCUGCUCCAUGACUAGUUUCGUAUUAUUCCACAUUCGAUACAUUGAUUGUCGUUGAUAUCUCGCUGGAUGGCGACAUGGUUUAUACCAAUAGGUACUUUACGGAGGCUAAUACAACUCAAUUAAUUAAACUUUAUAUUAAAGUCCUAUCGAAAAAAAAAUAUUCACAAAUAGAACGAAACACGGUUCGGUAGUUCUAUGGUUGCCAUAAUCAACGGUUCACGGAGUCUGUCAGUUGAUGCAUCCGGUUUCGCUUGACUGCUGGGUAAAAAUUAUGCAAAUUAAGAAUACACAACCAGAUAUGUCUGAUAUUAAUAACAAUGUUAUUUUAAUGUUUUCAUACWGUACGACAUAAAGAGGAAUAAAAGUUAGAACAAAUUAUCAUAAAAGAUUUUAAGUAUCUUACAUGUAAUCCGAAAAAUAUGUGAAAAUAUCAUGUCUCAUGAAAAUAUCAUCGACCUCGGCAUCGAAUAGCAAAACAACUUCAGCGCGAGAUGCCGAAAUACUUAUAAAAUUUGUAAUAUGGUUCUAUCCCGGGGUUCUAUUUGCGCAAUCACGAUUAAAUCCUACUAACCUGUAAUUUUUUCUGACUAACGUAAGAUUAGGUUUUGACCAGUGACUCAUAAUAUGCUAAAUUUUUCAAGUUUUUGUGCGUAAACUUGAGAAUGGUUACUGGACAAGCUCUACUUCCAAGCUUUUUACUUUUGUUUUUUAUUUAUAAAUUCAUCGUGUGGUACAUGUUACGUAUCACCGCCUAGCGUUAGAGCGGAGUGCACGCAAGACAAUUCUACAUAGCUGUCAAGUUCCKCACGCAUCCAAUUUCUAUUCUGUAUGUACAGCGGUAAAUUCAAYAAAAAUAAAAUGGCGGCUUCUAGACAUGCAUAAUGAACACAAACGCUUCUCUGUUCCCUGUGUUUGCAUCGUUUGUUUUACGUUUUUAAAGAAAAGGACGGCAGAGACKAACUAUGUCUGGUAGAGUGGCAGUGUUGCUGUUCUUUGCAGUGACCUUUUACACAGAGUUGCCGCGUUCAAGUGCUUACAAUUGGAUAGAUCCUUCUGCUUCAGAGAUUAAAAUGACAUAUCCGAAUACAAAAUCGACGACGAUUACAUGGAAAUGGUCACUAAAAAAGACAUCGCCAAAUGACGAACGGUUAAAUCAGCUUGAAAUUAAA